UGCCGGAUACCUGCGACAGGACGGAAAGACCCCAUGGAGCUUUACUGUAGCUUGACAUUGGGUCUUGGUACUACAUGUACAGGAUAGGUGGGAGGCUUUGAAACCAGGACGCCAGUUUUGGCGGAGCCAUCCUUGGGAUACCACCCUUGUAGUACUGGGACUCUAACCAUAGGCCAUGAAUCUGGUCUUGGGACACUGUCAGGUGGGCAGUUUGACUGGGGCGGUCGCCUCCCAAAAGGUAACGGAGGCGCUCAAAGGUUCUCUCAGUACGGUCGGAAAUCGUACGUAGAGUGUAAAGGCAAAAGAGAGCUUGAUUGCAAGACAUACAGGUCGAGCAAGGAUGAAAAUCGGACUUAGUGAUCCGGUGGUUCUGCGUGGAAGGGCCAUCGCUCAACGGAUAAAAGCUACCCUGGGGAUAACAGGCUUAUCUCCCCCAAGAGUCCACAUCGACGGGGAGGUUUGGCACCUCGAUGUCGGCUCAUCACAUCCUGGGGCUGUAGUAGGUCCCAAGGGUUGGGCUGUUCGCCCAUUAAAGUGGUACGCGAGCUGGGUUCAGAACGUCGUGAGACAGUUCGGUCCCUAUCCGUCGCAGGCGUAGG
rnacentral:rRNA from 1 species